UCGAAUUGAUCCACUAUAACAUCAUGUUCUAGAAAAGCUUGUUCCAGAACUCUCUGCAGUGCUUCUCUAUGCGCUUCAGAAUUCAUGAGCAGAGAUAACACUGAUAUUUUUGAGGGGGUUUGAAGCAGCUGCUCCACCAUAUUAAACUCGUUCAUUUUGAUUAACCGAAGUACCUCAUCAUCGUCGUUAGCCUUCAAAUUGCUGGAUUCACCAUACUUAC
rnacentral:lncRNA from 1 species